UCAAACUUGGUCAUUUAGAGGAAGUAAAAGUCGUAACAAGGUCUCCGUUGGUGAACCAGCGGAGGGAUCAUUACCGAGUCUCCGACUCCCAAACCACUGUGAAUCUACCUAUAUUUUCGCUCCGCCGGGUCGGCCCCGGGGGGUCGGUAGCCGCUAGGCACCCGGCGGAGCCGCAGCUAAAUUCUCUCAGCGAGCUUCUGAGUCUGUCUCUAAAAGAGUCACAACUUUCAACAAUGGAUCUCUUGGUUCCGGCAUCGAUGAAGAACGCAGC
rnacentral:misc_RNA from 1 species